AAAACCCUUGUUGGGAUUCCCUUCCCUUAUAUUCAUACAUUUCUAUAUAUUCGUUAUAUAUAGAAAAUCUGUUAUCAACUGCAAUAUACAUAAACUGAAUGAUUUUGGUCACAUCUUUCUCCUUUUUUCUUCCGAAAAAGCUUCUUUUUUUUUUUGGGUGCAGACUUCUUUGCUUUGUAAAUUGAAUCAUUUACUUCACAUGUUUCAUUUUCAUCCAUAACGGUCACAUCAUCAAAUAUCAACAGAUGUCAUCCAUAGACGAUUUAUGUGUUUUCUCUUUAUUUUCUAUUGUAUUUUUUGUUCAGUUUCAAGAAAUUAAUGCAAGUAUGUUAUCUCAAUGCAUCAAAAUCAAGGGACGAUGCUGCUAAUCAAAU
rnacentral:lncRNA from 1 species